UCCAAAAAUGCUGCCUGAUGAGUUCCACUC
rnacentral:piRNA from 1 species